rnacentral:rRNA from 1 species
GAGUCUAGCAUGUGCGCGAGUCAUUGGGACUCAAUAAACCUAAAGGCGCAAUGAAAGUGAAAGUCUGUUUACGCGGACUUAGGGAAGAUAGGUUUGUACAUCUCACUUGUGGGAUAUUACUGCCUCGCAUUCCCGGGGCGUCUCGCACUCAUUGCGAGGCGGGGCGCACCAAGAGCGUACACGCUGGGACCCGAAAGAUGGUGAACUAUGCCUGGUCAGGACGAAGUCAGGGGAAACCCUGAUGGAGGUCCGUAGCGAUUCUGACGUGCAAAUCGAUCGUCGGAACUGGGCUUAGGGGCGAAAGACUAAUCGAACCAUCUAGUAGCUGGUUCCCACCGAAGUUUCCCUCAGGAUAGCUGGCACUAGAUUAUGGAUGAGUCUCAUCCGGUAAAGCGAAUGAUUAGAGGCAUUGGGGUCGAAACGGCCUCAACCUAUUCUCAAACUUUAAAUGGGUGAGAUCUCCGGCUUGCUCGAUUUAUGAAGCCGGAGAUCGGAUCAAUUAGUGCCAAGUGGGCCACUUUUGGUAAGCAGAACUGGCGCUGUGGGAUGAACCAAACGCAGAGUUAAAGCGCCAAAAUCGACGCUUAUGGGAUACCAUGAAAGGCGUUGGUAACUUAAGACAGCAGGACGGUGGCCAUGGAAGUCGGA